GAACGAACGUUGGCGGCGUGGAUUAGGCAUGCAAGUCGAACGAAUGCCAGGGGGGUAACUCUGAGGCGGAAGUGGACGAAAGGGGCAGUAAUGCAUGGGUAACCUACCCUGGAGUCAGGCAUAGCCGUCCUAACGGACGGGUAAUUCUUGACGGCCCAGCGAGGAGGCAUCUUCUUGCUGGUAAAGAAUCUCGCUCUGGGAGGGGGCCCAUGUCGUAUUAGCUAGUUGGCGGGGUAACGGCCCACCAAGGCUAAGAUGCGUAGCGGGUGUGAGAGCACGACCCGCGCCACUGGCACUGAGACACUGGCCAGACACCUACGGGU
rnacentral:rRNA from 1 species